rnacentral:RNase_P_RNA from 1 species
GCGGAGGGGCGGAUGGCCGCGGCGUGGCAUUUGGUGCCUGAAUUUCGACCGGGGCUGCUGACGUGUUUUUCCUUUGGAAAAGCCACUUUCGCAGCGGAUGCGAAAUUUGGGUUCCCAAAUUUCGCGUCGAGGAAAGUCCGGACUCCACGAGGUAACGGUGCCGGGUAACGCCCGGCCGGGGCAACCCGAGGGAAAGCGCCACAGAGAACAGACCGCUUUGGGCGAAUGCAUCGCGUUCCCCCCGAGCAAGGGUGAAACGGUGGGGUAAGAGCCCACCGCGGGACGGGCAACCGGACCGGCAUGGCAAGCCCCACCGGGAGCAAUGCCGAAUAGGGAUCGCGCGCGGGGGACAUCCCCCGCAGGCCACCUCGGCCCAGCAGAUCCGGGUAGGCAGCUUGAGGCGCGCAGGCAACUGCGCGUCCAGAUGAAUGGUCAUCCCGGGCAUCGUCUUCGGGCGAUGCCUACGACAGAAUCCGGCUUACAGCCCCUCCGCGCAU